AACGCACCUUGCGCUCCUUGGUAUUCCGAGGAGCAUGCCUGUUUGAGUGUCAUUAAAUUCUCAACUCCCUUUGAUUUCUUCAAAGGCGAGCUUGGAUUGUGGAGGCUUGCCGGCUGCAAAGUCGGCUCCUCUGAAAUGCAUUGGCAAAGGCGUAUGCAUAAUAACGGCUUUCGAUGUGAUAAUGAUCAUCGUAGCUGGAAUGCUUCACAAGUCUAUGCCCAACCUGCUUUCCAUUCAUUUGGAAAACACUUUGACCAUUUUGACCUCAAAUCAGGUAGGACUACCCGCUGAACUUAA
rnacentral:misc_RNA from 1 species